rnacentral:rRNA from 1 species
UACAGAGGUCCCAAGCGUUGUUCGGAUUCAUUGGGCGUAAAGGGUGCGUAGGCGGCGCGGUAAGUCGGGUGUGAAAUCUUGGAGCUUAACUCCGAAACUGCAUUCGAUACUGCCGUGCUUGAGGACUGGAGGGGAGACUGGGAAUUUACGGUGUAGCGGUGAAAUGCGUAGAUAUCGUAAGGAAGACCAGUGGCGAAGGCGGGUCUCUGGACAGUUCCUGACGCUGAGGCACGAAGGCCAGGGGAGCAAACGGG